rnacentral:rRNA from 1 species
GUGGGGAAUAUUGGACAAUGGGCGCAAGCCUGAUCCAGCCAUGCCGCGUGAGUGAUGAAGGCCUUAGGGUUGUAAAGCUCUUUUGUCCGGGAAGAUAAUGACUGUACCGGAAGAAUAAGCCCCGGCUAACUUCGUGCCAGCAGCCGCGGUAAUACGAAGGGGGCUAGCGUUGUUCGGAAUCACUGGGCGUAAAGCGCACGUAGGCGGACCAUUAAGUCAGGGGUGAAAGCCUGGAGCUAAACUCCAGAACUGCCUUUGAUACUGAUGGUCUCGAGUAUGGAAGAGGUUGGUGGAACUGCGAGUGUAGAGGUGAAAUUCGUAGAUAUUCGCAAGAACACCGGUGGCGAAGGCGGCGAACUGGUCCAUUACUGACGCUGAGGUGCGAAAGCGUGGGGAGCAAUCAGGAUUAGAAAACCUGGUAGUCC